UGGUUUUUUUAGGUUUUGAUUUUUGUAGCGUUGGACGAGAAAAUCAAAACCUAAAGAAAAUA
rfam:Oreochromis niloticus linkage group LG14, whole genome shotgun sequence.